rnacentral:rRNA from 1 species
GACGAACGCUGGCGGCGUGCUUAACACAUGCAAGUCGAACGGUAAGGCCCUUCGGGGUACACGAGUGGCGAACGGGUGAGUAACACGUGGGUGAUCUGCCCUGCACUUCGGGAUAAGCCUGGGAAACUGGGUCUAAUACCGGAUAGGACCACUGCCUGCAUGGGUGGUGGUGGAAAGCUUUUGCGGUGAGGGAUGGGCCCGCGGCCUAUCAGCUUGUUGGCGGGGUGAUGGCCUACCAAGGCGACGACGGGUAGCCGGCCUGAGAGGGUGACCGGCCACACUGGGAAUGGGAUACGGUCCAGACUCCUACGGGAGGCAGCAGUGGGGAAUAUUGCACAAUGGGCGCAAGCCUGAUGCAGCGACGCCGCGUGAGGGAUGACGGCCUUCGGGUUGUAAACCUCUUUCAGCAUCGACGAAGCGAAAGUGACGGUAGGUGCAGAAGAAGGACCGGCCAACUACGUGCCAGCCGCCGCCGUAA